rnacentral:lncRNA from 1 species
UGACCUCUAUUCACAAUUAAAGUAUUUCCGUUUCCCAAUGAAACACCCUGUACAUUUAUUUAAUAGGUAUAAAUUAAGCCUUGUAAACAUUAUUCUCGACGACCCGACAUUCUUGAUAAAUAAAAUGUUAAAGGUGCCCUCUGGCACGAAAAAAUCUUUAAUUCUAUUAUAGUCCGCAAUUCAGGAAUGACAGACGGUGGAUCGGUCUGCCUCCUUCAGCACUCCCCAUGUAGGCGUCAGGUGGCGUUAAGUCUGGUGAGUGCGAUGGGUAUGGAAAAUCGCGCAAUAUUCGAAGAGACUCCUGGCCGUGCGACAGGUGAUCCAUCAGGUUUUCUGCUGAAACCAUUGUUGAUUUUAAAUUUGGACCGUUUUCGUGACCUUCGCCAAUUCAUCUCCGGAAUUCGCCAAUCGCGUUAGCACGAUAAUAUAUUUUUAGUGCAUGUUUCAGUGCCGGAUUAAGGGGGGGCUGUGGGACUAUUAGCCCCCGGCGGUAAAUUUUGAGAGGUGGUACGUCGCUCCCAUCACGUUUUAAUUCUAUAUGUGGAUAUUUCAAAUUUAUGGGGUUGACUUUCUGAAAUAACAUGGUAAUAAAACUUAGCAGGUUGGUAGCAGGUCGCACAAAAACAUGUGUCAUGUUUCCGGGAAAUCGACCAGCGCCACUGCGCUUGGCGGCAGCGUGUCUGGCUCCAACUCUCCCACACGCCAUGUCGCCAGUCGUGUUAGCGCAAUUUUCGAGACUAGUCUUAAAUUUUACUUAUUAGUGAAGUGUUUUCGUGGCGUUACUUAAAAAUGAACGGAAAGGAAGGAGGUGCAUUUUGAAAACGACAAAAGUUAGAAAAACAACAAAAAUUAAAUGCAGUAUUAAAAAACCCCAAGAUUCAGCUUUUGUUACCAAAUACAGGCAAGAUAGUGUACCAAGGAGCACUUCUUUUCAAGACGAUCCAAUUGCAACCGUUUCAGAUGUUUUAGAAGCAGGAGCUUCAUCACGUCGAGAUGAUUCAUCCACAGCAAAUUCAGACCCACUUUGUGAUAUCGAGUUACAUCCUGAAAAGAGUUCUCCUGAACGUCAAAUUCUAGUCGAAAGUGGUGUUAAUCGAGUUGAUUUACAAGAUCCAAAAUUCUAGCCAAGAAAUUGUGUAGACGAAGUGCUGAAAGAAUUCAAAACACAGGAUCUUAAUUCUUUAGACUUUUAAUCU